rnacentral:lncRNA from 1 species
GGGAGAGAGAGGGGAAGCGAGAGAGAGAGAGAGAGAGAGGGGAAGAGGAAGAGGGAGGUAAGGCGGAUCUUAGUUAGAUGAAACAGACCCACACGUUUACAAUAGAAGCACCGUACCGUUUAGUUCAAAACGCUGUUUUCUACCGGUCCUGAGACUUUCUACUUUAACCAGCCUGUGCGUGCGUGACCUUUGACGCUCGGUGCGUCGCAGAGAGGACGAGGCGGUUCGGGAUCCGGCGACCAGCCGCUCGGACGUCCAAGGUGAUAAAAGUCAAGUAUUUCUUCCCAGAGAGAAGAGGAGUCUCAUGUACCACGCGCUGAUACAGAAGGGUUUGUGAAGCCAUUUUCAGCAGACCUGUGUCACCGCUGCUUCCUGGUCCGUCCGUAGUCGUGGUGACCAGCUGGUCUGGAAUUACCGUGACCGUGAUCAGAGUAUCGAUCAGGACUGGAGUCCAGAUGCGCCACGAGACAAACCGUCCUCUAAAAGGGAACUCUGUAGUCCUGCUAGCUAGCUCACCGUCCAGGCAGGCUGGCUAGCCAGUUCUAAUCCUGCUAGCUAGCUCACCGUCCAGGCAGGCUGGCUAGCUAGCUCUAAUCAUGUAGUCCUGCUAGCUAGCUCACCGUCCAGGCAGGCUGGCUAGCCAGUUCUAAUCCUGCUAGCUAGCUCACCGUCCAGGCAGGCUGGCUAGCCAGUUCUAAUCCUGCUAGCUAGCUCACCGUCCAGGCAGGCUGGCUAGCCAGUUCUAAUCAUGUUGUCCUGCUAGCUAGCUCACCGUCCAGGCAGGCUGGCUAGCCAGUUCUAAUCCUGCUAGCUAGCUCACCGUCCAGGCAGGCUGGCUAGCCAGUUCUAAUCAUGUUGUCCUGCUAGCUAGCUCACCGUCCAGGCA